rnacentral:lncRNA from 1 species
CGCUAUGUCUGUCUUGUUUGUCCUUGUGCUGUGUUCUGUGUUGUUCUCUCUUUCUAGUCAGAAGAGAGAAAAAGCCUACCUGGGAUGACUGCCAGCAACUCCUACAAACUCUUUUUACCUCAGAAAAAAGGGACCAUAUCCUCCAGGAGGCAAUUAGAGCCACCCUGGGACCUGGUGGUGAUGCUGCCCCUGACCAUGCCCAAUGCCUGGAGGCUGUCAUGCCAGCAAAGCAUCCGAAUUGGGACCACAACACAAAGGAGGGUAAGAGGGAAUUGGACAUUUAUCUCCAGUGCCUUUUGGGUGGACUCCACUUGGCAGCAUGAAAGCCUACUAAUUUAACCAAGUUAAACGAGGUUCUAACCUUGCUGCUAUUAAUCUAGCUUUUGUUUCUCAGUCAGCCCCAGACAUUAAAAAAAAUUACAGAAGCUAGAAGGAUUCCAGGGAAAGAAUAAAUCUGAGCUCUUGGGCAUUGCCCAGAAAGUCUUUGAUAAUAGAGAUACUCCAAAAGAAGCAGUCGCCAAGAGGCUUGGAAAAGUAACCACUGCCUCACUGAAAGCUCAUAAGACUAAGACACAGGGAAGAGAGAAAAAACCACCAUCCAGGGGUUUCAGAGGGAGAUACAAAAUUGUUAAAAGAAUUUCAGAGCCUCUUUCCUCAGGUUUGGACAGAAACAAACCUGCCUGGACUGGCGGCACACCAACCUCCUGCUGUGGCCACCCUUCUGGCAGCAGCAACCCCCAUCGCCAUCAAACAAUACCCCAUCAAGACAGCUGCCAGAGGAAAAAAAUGAGGAUUCAUUUGUGAAAACUCCUGGGUGCUGGAAUCCUGAGACCAUGUAAGUCCCCCUGGAAUACUCCACUUCUUCCAGUAUUAAAACCAGGCACAGGAGACUAUCGCCCAGUCCAGGACUUACGUGAAAUAAACAAGAGGGUAGAGACUGUUCACCCAACUGUCCCAAAUCCCUAUACACUGCUGAUCCUCAUGCCACCAGAACACAAGGUAUAUACUGUAUUGGAUCUCAAGGAUGCUUUCUUCAGCAUUCCCCUGGCACCG